rnacentral:rRNA from 1 species
UACGAAGGGGGCUAGCGUUGUUCGGAUUUACUGGGCGUAAAGCGCACGUAGGCGGAUCGAUCAGUCAGGGGUGAAAUCCUGGAGCUCAACUCCAGAACUGCCUUUGAUACUGAGGAUCUUGAGUUCGGGGAGAGGUGAGUGGAACUGCGAGUGUAGAGGUGAAAUUCGUAGAUAUUCGCAAGAACACCAGUGGCGAAGGCGGCUCACUGGCCCGAUACUGACGCUGAGGCACGAAAGCGUGGGGAGCAAACAGGG